rnacentral:tRNA from 1 species
CAGCGAUAGCUCAGCUGGUGGAGCAUCUGCACUACAUGCGGAGGGUCGCCGGUUCGAUUUCGGCUCGCGA